AUGGCUAAUAGGUGAUGAUAAAUCAAGGUCGACUCGAAAUAUGUACCUGAACAGCAAAAUAAGAGGAAGAGAGUGAGAGCUCAACACGGCAGUGCAAUCAGCAGAUAAUCACAGACAGCAAAAGGGAUCAGAACAUCCCAGGUGAGAGUUUAGAGACCAUAAUCGUUUAAAAAUCCCGCAGAGCCAAAAGAUCGACUCAGAGAUGAAAGUUAACACCAAAAACCCAAUAGAACUCCCUAACUUUCAAAAUCUAACAGGGCAGCAUAAAAUUGAAACCCGAACAAUUCAAAUCAAUAGCCCAAAUUAACCUUCAAACCCCCAGCAAACACACAUCAACAGAAAUAAAUUCAACUUCACACACAACUAGUUUCUAAGUCUUAGCUGCCAAUCAUUGAACCAGGAGUUCGAAUUCAAUUGACCUAGAAAUAAAUUCAACUUCACACACAAUCAGUUUCUAAGCCUUAGCUGCCAAUCAUUGAACUAGGAGUUCGAAUUCAAUUGCCCAAACCAUAAAACUGGUCAAAAUAAUCAAUGAAACAAUAAAAUACUUUUAUUUUUUUUCAGUUUUUAUUUUCUUUUUGUUUGUUUUGGUUUUUUGAAGAUUUUGGAGUUUUGUUUCUCACAUUUCAAAUCUUAAGCUUAUAGAGGAUAUGAGGGAAUUUUGUGAGGCUCCAAAACUUGUGUCUCAAGGCAUUAGUGAUGCCUUUUAUAAGUCAAAAAGAGGGCAGCCCUCAAAUCUUCCACUUGCACUAUAAGUCCCUCCCUAUUUCCAGUUUAGUCCCUUAGUUAUUAACUUGUUCCCCAAGUAAGUCUACUAAUUCCCUGAAAUUACAACUAAAUGGCUACUCUAGAAGGUUCUUGCAUAUUCUACCAAAUUCUACCCCAUCCCAAAUAACUAAACUACCCCCUGAAAACCCUGAAACUACUGACUCAACCAAACCCUUUACCUUAGCUAAGAUUUAACUAUAGUUACCUACAAAUGAAAUAUUCAGCUAUAUCCAAAUCUUAAACCUAAUUAAAACUCUGAACUAAUCAAUAACAAUUAACAUUAAUUGAAUUGACAACUAACAAAUCAAAUCGUAAACUGAAAUUAACCCGAGUCAGUUCCAGAAGAACAAAAAAGGCAAAAAUCAACAUGAACAAACUAAAAUUUUAUUUGAAUGGAUUAAAAGAAAUUUAACCUUUAUACUACUAAAUUGGAAAAAAUUCUAUCAAACCUAUAAGACUAAGCCAAUUACUGGAGUCAAAGCCACAUCCCAAAUCAACAUCACAAAACCAAAAUAAAGGAUAAACUGAAUUAAACUAAUGAUUAAUUGAAACAAUUAACACUUGAGCAUUCAAACUAACAAAACCAAAAUUGAAUCAGACAGAAACAAAGGAAAAACCAAAUUAAACUAACGAUUAAUUGAACCAAUUAAUAUUUGAGUAUUCAAACUAACAAAACCAAAAUUGAAUCAGAACUUAAACAAAGAGAUGACAAUCAACCUAAAAAAAUCAACCUAAACAUUUAUAACAACCAAAGCAACGAGGUGAUGUUAACUAGACUGGAAAUUAAGAACUAUGCUAGAAGACAACGAAUCAAACUAACAAAAUAGCUAAAGAAGAAACAGAGAAGGAAACCUACGACAAUUUGGACUUCAUAAGAAACCUUUCGAAAUUAACUUCAAGUUAAUACUCUACGUCCAUUUCAUGAGAAAUAGACUUAUAGUAUUAACCUGAGUUCACUCGACUUGAAAAAUCCCCAAGAUAGCCCAAAACAGCUAGACCCUCGAUUCAAAGUUCGCCCAGUUCCAGUGAUAUUUGACAGAAACUACUGAGAUAUUAGAGCUGAGGGAGGUCAAGGGAAGGUAUUGUGUGAAAUUGGGCCGGUUUGGGUGAGGUUCAUGUUUGGCUCGAAUCUUCGAUUGAAGAUUCGAGAAGUUCUAGGCUAAUUCGAGGCAAACGGUUCAUGGAUUCGUAACGAGGGUGGUUAGGUGCUCUAAGGGUGUUAAUUUGGUGAUCAUCAGAGUGGCUGCCGCCGAGUUUACGACGAAGGUGCUCAAUGGCGGCUAGGGUUUGAUGGAGAAGUUGUUCGUCUCUGAGAGAGACGAUGAACGGGGGGUUUGAGAGGGGGUGUCUAUUCGGACAGUUUUAUAUCAUAAAACAUAGGCAGAUGUGGACCGUUUGAUCAAUGAUCAAUAGCUGGGAUUGGUUUCCUGGGACGACGUCGUUUGAUGGUUUUGUGGGGCGGACCAGAUUAGGGGGUUAUGGUAUUGGGCUGGGCAGGGAUUUCUAGUGUGAGCUAAAUGGCUUUGGCCCAAACUAACUCUUAUUAAAACCAAACCCCUUUCUUUUUAACUAUCCCUCUUUUAAUUAUUUUUCUCUCUUUUAUUGAUUUUUCCAAUUAAUUCCUCCUUAUUUUUUUGUUACCAACUUAAUGAUUUAUAAAGUUUGCAAAAUAAAAUAAAACUAAACUAAUUAAUGCCUAUAAUUACUUCAAAAACUAAUUUGCGUUACCAAUUUUCUGAUUUACAAAGUUUUCAAAAUAAAAUAAAACUAAACUAAUUAAUGCCAAAAAUUACUUCAAAAACUAAUUUGCGACAAUUUCACAACUAAAAUACAAAAUGAACUAUUUUUGUUAUCUUCUUCCCAUUUUAUUCUAAAACAAAUUAACCCCAAAUUAAUACUAUAUGAAAUUAAAUCCUAAAUUCAAAUGCAUAUUUUUGUAUUUUUAUAUGAAUCAAUAUGCACAAAUAAAAUGCAAACAAUUAACACAAAAUGACAACAAAAUUUCCAAAAAUUGUAAAAAUAAAGAAAAAAUUAUUUUAUUUGAAUUUUUGGGAAUUAUUCAUAUAUAGGGAAAAAAUCACGUGCUCACAUCCACCGCUGAAAUUACGUCGCAACUUUGGGCAGUUGGUAUUUAUAUGACCAAUGUCUCCACAAUGGUAGCAACUAUGAAACCUGAGCUUGCACUGACCUGAAUGUUGCCGCUUAUAUGUUCCACAAUACCUUGCAGGUGUGAAUGUUGCUCAACAUGACUCUGCCUAUGUGAGGAUAAUGUCCUAAAAUUCUGAUUCUUACGAGACUGAUUUCCAUAACUCUGAGUGCGUCUGAAGGAAGACCCACCACCUGACUGAUGGCUAGACUGAGCUGGUGCUAAUGACUCCUUAUUAGAGGCAACCUUUCCGCCUCUGCUGGAUGUACUAUUAAACUUGCCCGUUGUCCGGAAUUUCUUGUUAUGCUCUUUCUCUUCUCUCAUUUGUUGUUUGUCUUUUUCUAAGUGCUUGGCGAACCCCACAACAGAUGAGAAAGCUAUCAUUCCUACCGCUACAGCUAAUGUCGUAUCCUUAAUGUUGUAAGCCAAACCGCCAACAAACCUGCGAAUCUUUAUCUUUUCUGUCUUAACCAUGUGAGGAGCAUUCUUAGCUAACCUUAUGAAUUCCAUGUAGUACUUUUGCACACUUUUAUUCCCUUGCUUGAGCUGUUCGAACUCUGUAGCCUUAGUUGUCGUAUCCUCUUCUGGGAUAAAGUUAGCUAUGAAGGUCUCUUCAAAUUGUUUCCAAGUAGGUGGACCAUAAUCUUCAUCUCUCUUUUUUUCCCACAUCUCAAACCAAGCGCCAGCCACAUCUUUAAGCUGGUAAGCAGCCAGCUCCAUAGCUUUAUCAUCAAAUACUUUCAUCACUAUGAGGGCUUUCUUAAUACCCUCCAUCCAUAACAUUGGAUCUUCAUCAACUGUAGAACCAUGGAACACUUGAGGACUCAACUUCAGAAAUUCAUUCACUCAUGAAGACUCAAAAUUGUUCUGCCUAUUUGUUUGAGGUGGAAUCUUAUCUCUUUUCUCAUUCUGGUUGGCCAUAAAGGCCUUAAACAUCUCUAGUGCACUGUUAACUGCAUUGAACAUCUGACCCACCUUUAGUGAUAUAGUUGUUUGAGUCGGAGUUGCUGUUGGGGUUGGCGUUGGAUCCUGAGGUAGUUGCUCAUCAUGCUCCACCCCUUCUUCAUGUUCAAUCUGGGGGUACUUGAACCCCCCUUGUGGAUUUACCCUUCCUUUUCUGAGUUCGAGCCUUUUUAGUUAUGCCUUAAGCCACGAUAGUAGCAAUAGUUUCUUGAGCAUCAUCCUGAGUGUCAGUGUCAGAGUUGCUAGUACUGAGAGUUUUGGAGAAAAGAAUACAUUAUAUAAUUUCUUAGAUGUAGGAUAUACUGCACGAUCUAAAGUAUAUAAAAAUGAGAUUUUUCCUAAAUUCUUGUAGUCUCCUAUUUAUAAGUAUGGCACAUUUCAUACCCAUAAACAAGAUUCUACUAACACGGCUUCAUAGACCCCUAGGACUCCGUAAACCUGAGACUCUGAUACCAAGUUUGUCACGACCCAUUGUUAAACAAGCCGAGACCGGCAUUCGAUCAUUAAACAUGACCGAGCGAACCAUCUUUGCUUAUCAAACCUAUUAUAACUCCAAACUUUAUAUGCCACAAAGCAAUACUCUAACCAAAUACUUAUUAUUAGAAAUCAACUCCAAAGCUUUAUUCCUAGUAACUACUGAAUUACCACUAAGUUAUUAUAAAAUAACAUCUGAAUCUCAGCGUAAUGACUAUAUCUAUGAAGCCUCUACUGGUAAACUGACGCACUGCUUAGGACAUAUUAUAAAAUAACAUAUGAAUCUCAACCCAAUGACUAUGUGUAUGAAGCCUCUACUGAUAAACUGACGCACUGCUCAGGACAUGAUAUGUACUGGCCAGUUCUCUAAAUAAACAAAGAAAUAGCUAAAUGAAAAUGACUAUAAGAUUACUCCACGAACAAAAGCGGAGCUCACCAGUAUCACUGAAAGGGAAGGAAGUCCUAACUCGUAGCAUGCUCGCCUGCAAAUCAGGUUCAUACGUUGUACCGCAGACCAAUGUAGGUUCCCAAAAGAGAACGUCGGUACCAUCCAUUGUACUCAGUGAGUCUCGACAACAGGGGGAGAAACAUUAACAACAUAUAUAUUAUGAGCAAAGGUUUUAAGUGCUUGUAAAACAUAAAGCUUAUAAGAAUAAUUCUAAAUAAAUUGCAUAAUAGCAGCUCAUGAACAUUCUAAAAGAAAUUCUUUUCUUUUUCUUUCUUGUAAAAAAAAUACUUCACUUUAUACUUUUGGGAUUUCCAACUAUCCUGACUUAAUUCUGUCUCAGUCACCGUGUGAUCGGCACGGUUUUGAUCCCAACCUGAUCGAAUAGGCCCAAUCCACGAGGUGUUCACUCGCUUAAUUAACUUAGUUCUGUCUCAGUCACCGUGUAAUCUGUACGGGUUCGAUCCCAACAUGAUCGAAUAGGCCCAAUCCACGAGGUGUCACUCGCUUCAUGGUUCUCAACGCUCAUGUAUCAUACCUUAUCAUAGCUAAGUAAAUUCUUAGCAACGAGACCCUCAGCUCGUGUGCUCCCUACUUUGGCACAAGUAGUUUUAGGAAGUCAAUGCCUUGGUCAGGACCCUCGGCCUGGAUGAUGACCCCUUCUCAGAAUAAAGGAUACUCCAAAAAAAUCUUUUCUUUAUAAAACUUCUUCUUCUGGGACGAUGACCCCUUCUCAGAAUAUAGGAUACUCCCCAAAAAUCUUUUCUUUAUAAAACUUCUUAUUGAGACUUAUCAAGUCUAAAUCUUUUCUUUAUAGGACAUUAUGUAAAUGCUCAUAUUGGUGUCCUUAAAUGUAAAGCAUGACAUAAGAAUGAAAUAAAUAUAUAAAAAUAUUUUUAAAGAUUCUUUCUUCUUCAUAAUUUUUAACAUGAGAAUAGCAUAUAAGAAUAACACAAAAAUCUGAAAAUUUAAGCGCAUAUAACAUAAUAGAUCAUCUAAACUUUUGCUAGAACAAUUCUAAAUUAAUAGGUACUCACUUGCUCUAAUUAAAUAAAGAUAAUUUCUUUUAAGCAAUUCAUCAAACACUUUGUAUGCGUGCUUUUGUGAGUUAAACCACUUUAGUAAAGGGUUAUAUCAACUCACCUCAAAACUUCUCGAGCCAAUAAGUAGCCCCAGUCCAAUUGACUCCAGUCAAAAGGGUUAUAUCAACUCACCUCAAAAAUUAUCGAUCCAAUACGUAGACUCCAGUCCAAUUUAUUCCCGUCAAAUAAUUGAUUCUACAACAACCAGUGUAUAUUUUCAAGUAUUACACCUAAUUAUGAAAUUUAUUGUUGAUAUAGGGAAGAAGAGAAUUAGGUAUUCAAUUCUUACCUAUUAAUACUUUAUGAUAAUUAAAAAUAGGGAAUUUUAUAUACCUGAAUUCAAGAAUAGUGAUUUGUAAAGAACCCUUGAAUCUUUCCAUGUUCUCUGCGUGAAAUAUUGCCUGGGUUUGCUACCUCUGUUGCGUUAAUCUUUAUUCUAGUCUAGAGGAUAUUUU
rnacentral:lncRNA from 1 species